UACGGAGGAUGCAAGCGUUAUCCGGAAUGAUUGGGCGUAAAGCGUCCGCAGGUGGCUAUGUAAGUCUGCUGUUAAAGAGUGAGGCUCAACCUCAUAAGAGCAGUGGAAACUACAUAGCUAGAGUGCGUUCGGGGCAGAGGGAAUUCCUGGUGUAGCGGUGAAAUGCGUAGAUAUCAGGAAGAACACCGGUGGCGAAAGCGCUCUGCUAGGCCGCAACUGACACCGAGGGACGAAAGCUAGGGGAGCGAAUGGG
rnacentral:rRNA from 1 species